rnacentral:lncRNA from 1 species
GUGGGAUAGCAAGGAAGGUACGCACGAGGCUUGAGGUCGUGGGUUCGAAUCUCACGAACCGCGCACGCGCAUAUUUCACGUGAAAAUCGUGUGACUUGUUGUUGGGAUGGCAAGGAAGAUCCAUAGCCUUGUUGUUGUAGGCCCCGAUGGACCUGGGGUCACAUAGGGAGGGGGUUGCCCAUGAACGUCUCUGCACACAAGGUUU